rnacentral:tRNA from 1 species
GCCCAGUUAGCUCAGCCGUUAGAGCACCAGGCUCUUAGUUUGCCUGCCACGGGUUCGAGCCACGCAUCGGGCU